GAGAGUUUGAUCCUGGCUCAGGAUUAACGCUGGCGGCAUGCCUAAUACAUGCAAGUCGAACGAAAGUAGCAAUACUUUAGUGGCGAACGGGUGAGUAACACGUAUCUAACCUACCAUUUAGUGAGGAAUAACUGUUGGAAACGACAGCUAAUACCGCAUAUGUUAUUUAUUUGCAAUGAUAAAUAAUGAAAGGAGCAUUUACUUCGCUAAUUGAUGGGGAUGCGGCGCAUUAACUAGUUGGUAAGGUAAUGGCUUACCAAGGUAACGAUGCGUAGCCGAUCUGAGAGGAUGAACGGCCACAUUGGGACUGAGACACGGCCCAAACUUCUACGGAAGGCAGCAGUAGGGAAUUUUUCACAAUGGGCGAAAGCCUGAUGGAGCAAUGCCGCGUGACUGAUGAAGGUCUUCGGAUUGUAAAAGUCUGUUGUAAGAGAAGAAGUGCUAGAAUAGGAAAUGAUUUUAGUAUCGACCAUACCUUACCAGAAAGCCACGGCUAA
rnacentral:rRNA from 1 species